ACGCUCGACACCUACGGGAGGUAGCAGUGGGGAAUAUUGCACAAUGGGGGAAACCCUGAUGCAGCGACGCCGCGUGAGUGAAGAAGUAUUUCGGUAUGUAAAGCUCUAUCAGCAGGGAAGAAGAUGACGGUACCUGAGUAAGACGCCCCGGCUAACUACGUGCAGCGCGCCGUAGUAUCNGCGGCGNGNGACGAG
rnacentral:rRNA from 1 species